rnacentral:rRNA from 1 species
CGAACGGACGAGAAGCUUGCUUCUCUGAUGUUAGCGGCGGACGGGUGAGUAACACGUGGAUAACCUACCUAUAAGACUGGGAUAACUUCGGGAAACCGGAGCUAAUACCGGAUAAUAUUUUGAACCGCAUGGUUCAAAAGUAAAAGACGGUCUUGCUGUCACUUAUAGAUGGAUCCGCGCUGCAUUAGCUAGUUGGUAAGGUAACGGCUUACCAAGGCAACGAUGCAUAGCCGACCUGAGAGGGUGAUCGGCCACACUGGAACUGAGACACGGUCCAGACUCCUACGGGAGGCAGCAGUAGGGAAUCUUCCGCAAUGGGCGAAAGCCUGACGGAGCAACGCCGCGUGAGUGAUGAAGGUCUUCGGAUCGUAAAACUCUGUUAUUAGGGAAGAACAUAUGUGUAAGUAACUGUGCACAUCUUGACGGUACCUAAUCAGAAAGCCACGGCUAACUACGUGCCAGCAGCCGCGGUAAUACGUAGGUGGCAAGCGUUAUCCGGAAUUAUUGGGCGUAAAGCGCGCGUAGGCGGUUUUUUAAGUCUGAUGUGAAAGCCCACGGCUCAACCGUGGAGGGUCAUUGGAAACUGGAAAACUUGAGUGCAGAAGAGGAAAGUGGAAUUCCAUGUGUAGCGGUGAAAUGCGCAGAGAUAUGGAGGAACACCAGUGGCGAAGGCGACUUUCUGGUCUGUAACUGACG